rnacentral:rRNA from 1 species
CCUACGGGAGGCAGCAGUGAGGAAUAUUGGUCAAUGGGCGCGAGCCUGAACCAGCGAAGUAGCGUGAAGGAUGACUGCCCUAGGGGUGGUAAGCUUCAUUUAUAUGGGAGUAAAAUGUUCCACGUGUGGGAGUUUGUAUGUACCAUAUGAAUAAGGAUCGGCUAACUCCGUGCCAGCAGCCGCGGUAAUACGGAGGAUCCGAGCGUUAUCCGGAUUUAGUGGGUUUAAAGGGUGCGUAGGUGGAUUGUUAAGUCAGUUGUGAAAUUUUGCGGCUCAACCGUAAAAUUGCAGUUGAAACUGGCAGGCUUGAGUACAGUAGAGGCGGGCGGAAUUCGUGGUGUAGCGGUGAAAUGCUUAGAUAUUACGAAGAACUCCGAUGGCGAAGGCAGUUCACUGGACUGCAACUGACACUGAGGCUCGAAAGUGUGGGUAGCAAACAGGAGUAGAUACCCUAGUAGUC